UAUAUUUAUGCAUAGCAGCUAUCGUUAUGUCUUCUUUUCCCUUAAGAUUAAUUUUAAUUCAAAUGAGAAUUUUCAGCUUUUUAAUUCAUUAGUAUCUUGUGAGUUUGGGGCACUAAUGUAAAAUAUUUAGAAAUAUUUUGUUAAAUCAGAGAAAAAAAUAUACUUGAGGACAAAAAUAUUGUAAAUUUAAAAAGUCCUGUCUUAAAAGUAAUCGGUUGGUAUAAUGAACAGGCAGAAACUCUUACUAUAAAUUUUAUAUAUUGCCAAGGACCCCCGUAGUGACAUGCUCAGGUCUUUGGUUAUUGCAGAGAAGCACGUCUUGAUUUAAGUUCUAUCUUUUGGGAUUCUUUUGGGUUAGGCUUGUAUGGAAAUAUUUGCCUGAAAAACCUGGGUAUAUCUGUUACUUGUUAAUUUUUUAAAUAGAAUAUUUCAAUAAAAGAAAAGGGAAAGAUCAUUUAGUCCAACACUUUUGUUUUCUAGAGGCGGGUUCUGAGACUCAGCUUAGGCCUAGGUUACACAGAUGAUUAGACGAAGACCCAGCACUGCAGCAGGAUUCUCCUGGGCUCCAUUCCAGUGAUCUUUCCUUACCUUGUGCUGCCUCCUGGUGAGCUCAGCUGUGAGCACACAAAGAACUUAAAAUGAGGUCACCUUGGGCAAGUCAGUGUACUUCUC
rnacentral:lncRNA from 1 species